rnacentral:rRNA from 1 species
UACGAAGGGGGCUAGCGUUGCUCGGAAUGACUGGGCGUAAAGGGCGAGUAGGCGGUUUUGACAGUCAGACGUGAAAUUCCUGGGCUCAACCUGGGGGCUGCGUUUGAUACGUUGGGAAUGGAGUGCGGAAGAGGGGCGUGGAAUUCCCAGUGUAGAGGUGAAAUUCGUAGAUAUUGGGAAGAACACCGGUGGCGAAGGCGGCGACCUGGUCCGUGACUGACGCUGAGGCGCGAAAGCGUGGGGAGCAAACAGG